UACGGAGGGGGGCUAGCGUUUGUUCGGAAUUACUGGGCGUAAAGCGCACGUAGGCGGCUUUGUAAGUUAGAGGUGAAAGCCCAGGGCUUAACCCUGGAAUUGCCUUUAAGACUGCAUCGCUAGAAUCGUGGAGAGGUAAGUGGAAUUCCGAGUGUAGAGGUGAAAUUCGUAGAUAUUCGGAAGAACACCAGUGGCGAAGGCGACUUACUGGACACGUAUUGACGCUGAGGUGCGAAAGCGUGGGGAGCAAACAGG
rnacentral:rRNA from 1 species